AAGAAAGAAAUGGAAUCAUUAAUUUACCUCUCUUUUUUUCUUGCUAAUUUUCAUUACAGUUUAAGGUAGUAAUUCCAAACUUUUUCAGGCUCUACGCUGUCAGCACAAAGCCCAAUGCGACGCUCAAACCUGUGAACCCCAAGCUCAUGACCUGAGCCAAAGUCCAACACUCAACCAAGUGAGCCACCAGGCACCCUUAGAAAUUUUGACAAAAUUUCAUCUUACUACACAAUUCUCUCAUGGCUAAAAGACUGAAAGAAAGACAGCUGGCAGUGAAAUGCUUAUAAAACUGGAGCCUACAUCUUAAUUGGUUAAUUCAAACAGGGCUGCCUUAGAUAUUAGAGACAAUUCAUAUGAAAAUUAAAAACGCAGCCAAUCAUCUCUACGAUUGACUUUGAUUUUACAACAUUAAACCAAAAUCUGUGAGUCUAAUGAUCUACACUGUAUAGAAGACAUCAGAACGUUUUAUUCUUUGUCCAAAUAUUUGUUAUUAUAACCUUUUGGUUUUGAAAUGAUUUCCUUUCGAAUUCAUAAUACAUUGUGAGAAGUCAAAUUAGCAUGCAGGAAACUUGGUGAGUAGCCCAGAAAUGAGCCUUUAACAUGCAGUCUUUAGAGAGAGGUUAUGUUAAACAUAUAAUUAAACGGUCACUGAAGAUGUACAGGAGUAUUUUUGCAACAAAUCAAAUACGGUGGAACCAGGAUCCUCAAAUUUCAACAUUUUCUAUCCAGGUAAAUGACAGUAAACUUCAUAAGGGAAAAAGAGUUUUAAGCCAAUGAUUAAUCUUCAAUGAGUCCACAGUAGAAAUGAAGGUAAUGAAGCCAUCAAGAUGGCACUAAAGCAAAUUUCGUAACUAGAGUGAGGAGUAACUUGGAGUGACAACAGUAAGUGUUGGAGUCACAGGAGUUCAGUAACUUGGGAAUUUAUGCAGGAAAAUAAUCCGAGAAGGUAAGAAGGAUCCAUGGUGGUCACUGAGGAGGAAUAAUAGAAGGGGAGCUCUGCAAUUAAUCACAGGAAAUCAAGAGAUGCCUUUGGAGUCAGACAAGUACUACAUCUGCUCCUUAAUAUCUGCGUAAUCUCCCAGGCUGUGUUUCCUAGCACUAAACUGGAGAUAAUGGCAGAUAACACUCCAAGUUGUUAUAAGGAUUAAGAGAGAGACAUCUAUGAAAUCCUUAUUACGUUGUGUACUUCCUAGUAAAUAUUAAUCUUUUCCUAAUUUUCCCUCCUCCACACAAUUUAGUUUCUAUCCCCUGGAUCAUAGGUUAGAUUGACCCGAUUAGAUUACAACUCCCCGUUCAGAAUCAAUUCAGAAAUCCCAUUCAGAAAACAGCCUGAACCACACAUUUAUUUCAAAAUUAUUUUCUUUCAAAGAAAUUGCUGUUGAAGUUAUUUUUACUCUGAAAAGCAUCUGUGCCUUUCUCAGUCAAAACGUGAUUUUUUCUAUGUGUAUGAAUUUAUUAUUUAACAUCUUCAUAAAAGAUAUUUUCUGUGGGUUAAAACUAUGAAUGAAUGAUAUUUUAAUGCAUAUGAUAAAUAAAGUAGCCUUUGUAUCCACA